UUUUAAGUGUUUCAUUUUUUAUUCUGAGACACUGAAAACAUGAGCCAAAGAAGUGUAGCAGAGGAAAGCAGAAGAAGAACACAUAAAAGGAUGUAAGGGGCCAGGAUUUUACCCACACCUCAGGAGCCUGUGAGUCUGAAGAAGAAGAGCAAGGAAAGAGGCACCU